rnacentral:lncRNA from 1 species
GAGAACCAAAAAGUGAAAUAACCUGUGCUGAGUCAUCAGCCUGGAGGCGGGGGAUUGGAGGCAGGAAAAAUAAAUGUAGCAUCUCCCCCUGGGGGCUCCCGUCAAAGACUGUCGAAGGGAGGGUCCGACAGGUAGGGAGGAGAGGGGGGAGCUUAAGGAGCAGGACUCCCCGUGGUCUGUACUGGUCCAGGAACCCCUUUGGCUGUGGCCUUGAGCAGCAGCUGCAGCUCCUCUCACCUUUCCCUCCUCCAGAUGUCCUCAAACAUCCUAAUAUUUAUUUCUACUUGGGAACAGCAGCAAAUCAACAAAGGCAUGUCAAGGACGCCCUCACCUUCCUCUAUGAGGCUCCAAGCCCUAUUUCUGAUUUUCUAAUUGGGUUUUCUAAACGAAAACAAAGAGCAGGAGCGAGUGAAUUCAACUCUGGGGCUGCUUUGAACUCUCGUCUCUGCCAAUUAACCCUCCCUGGGAAGGCUGAAGCGCCUCUUAGAAGUGGCAGGGCUGAGUCCUUGACUGCAACUCCCUCCAGGACACGCACCAAGUCGACUGUGGGAAAGCCAGCUUUUCCCUAUAGGGCCUGCCAGGCACAGCCUUUGUUAGAGCCUAUGAUCCAGCCUGAAAGGGCACACGUAGGAUAUUGGCCUUAGUAUAUGCAAGUCGGAAAAAAACACGAAAAAAUCACAGCAACAAUUGCCACAACAAAGCUGAUCUGGGUGUUUCCAGGGCCCUUCUACUCCACCUAGAUGUGAAAGGAAAAGAAACAGUUAUCACUUGAUACUUGUAAAACACUUUUUUUAAGUUUCUAUUUUUAUUCAAAGUUAUACAU